AGAGUUUGAUCCUGGCUCAGAUUGAACGCUGGCGGCAUGCCUUACACAUGCAAGUCGAACGGCAGCACGGGAGCUUGCUCCUGGUGGCGAGUGGCGAACGGGUGAGUAAUAUAUCGGAACGUACCCUAGAGUGGGGGAUAACGCAGCGAAAGUUGCGCUAAUACCGCAUACGAUCUACGGAUGAAAGUGGGGGAUCGCAAGACCUCAUGCUCAUGGAGCGGCCGAUAUCUGAUUAGCUAGUUGGUAGGGUAAAAGCCUACCAAGGCUUCGAUCAGUAGCUGGUCUGAGAGGACGACCAGCCACACUGGAACUGAGACACGGUCCAGACUCCUACGGGAGGCAGCAGUGGGGAAUUUUGGACAAUGGGCGCAAGCCUGAUCCAGCAAUGCCGCGUGAGUGAAGAAGGCCUUCGGGUUGUAAAGCUCUUUUGUCAGGGAAGAAACGGUGGA
rnacentral:rRNA from 1 species